rnacentral:rRNA from 1 species
CCUACGGGUGGCAGCAGUGAGGAAUAUUGGUCAAUGGGCUUACGCCUGAACCAGCCAAGUCGCGUGAGGGAAGACUGCCCUAUGGGUUGUAAACCUCUUUUGUCAGGGAGCAAUUGGCGCUACGUGUAGCGUUCUCGAGAGUACCUGAAGAAAAAGCAUCGGCUAACUCCGUGCCAGCAGCCGCGGUAAUACGGAGGAUGCGAGCGUUAUCCGGAUUUAUUGGGUUUAAAGGGUGCGUAGGCGGAUUUUUAAGUCAGCGGUAAAAUGUCCGGGCUCAACCCGGGCCGGCCGUUGAAACUGGGGAUCUUGAGUGGGCGAGAAGUAUGCGGAAUGCGUGGUGUAGCGGUGAAAUGCAUAGAUAUCACGCAGAACUCCGAUUGCGAAGGCAGCAUACCGGCGCCCGACUGACGCUGAGGCACGAAAGCGUGGGGAUCGAACAGGAUUAGAUACCCUAGUAGUC